GACAGAGGCCCCGAGCGUUAAUCGGAAUUACUGGGCUUAAAGGGUGCGUAGGCCGGCCCGCAAGUGCUUUGUGAAAUCCCCCGGCUCAACCGGGGAACAGCGGGGCAUACUGCGGGUCUUGAGGCAGGUAGGGGCCGCGAGAACAGUAGGUGGAGCGGUGAAAUGCGUAGAUAUCUACUGGAAUGCCGAUGGUGAAGACGCGCGGCUGGGCCUGUCCUGACGCUGAGGCACGAAAGCGUGGGGAG
rnacentral:rRNA from 1 species